CGGCGGACGGGUGAGUAACACGUGGAUAACCUACCUAUAAGACUGGGAUAACUUCGGGAAACCGGAGCUAAUACCGGAUAAUAUAUUGAACCGCAUGGUUCAAUAGUGAAAGACGGUUUUGCUGUCACUUAUAGAUGGAUCCGCGCCGCAUUAGCUAGUUGGUAAGGUAACGGCUUACCAAGGCAACGAUGCGUAGCCGACCUGAGAGGGUGAUCGGCACACUGGAACUGAGACACGGUCCAGACUCCUACGGGAGGCAGCAGGG
rnacentral:rRNA from 1 species